rnacentral:rRNA from 1 species
UACGGGGGGAGCAAGCGUUGUUCGGAUUUACUGGGCGUAAAGGGCGCGUAGGCGGUCGUGACAAGUCACUUGUGAAAUCUCCGGGCUUAACUCGGAACGGUCAAGUGAUACUGUCGGACUAGAGUACAGAAGGGGCAACUGGAAUUCUCGGGUGUAGCGGUGAGAUGCGUAGAUAUCGAGAGGAACACCUGCGGCGAAGGCGGGUUGCUGGGCUGAUACUGACGCUGAGGCGCGGAAAGCCAGGGGAGCGAACGGG